GUGCUCACUUCAGCAGCACAUAUACUAAAAGUGGAAUGAUACGGAGAUGAUUGCGUGGUUCCUGCACAAGGAUGACACAAAUUUGUGAACCAUUCCAUAUUUCA
ensembl:snRNA U6 U6 spliceosomal RNA